rnacentral:rRNA from 1 species
GACGAACGCUGGCGGCGUGCUUAACACAUGCAAGUCGAACGGAAAGGCCCUGCUUUUGUGGGGUGCUCGAGUGGCGAACGGGUGAGUAACACGUGAGUAACCUGCCCUUGACUUUGGGAUAACUUCAGGAAACUGGGGCUAAUACCGGAUAGGAGCUCCUGCUGCAUGGUGGGGGUUGGAAAGUUUCGGCGGUUGGGGAUGGACUCGCGGCUUAUCAGCUUGUUGGUGGGGUAGUGGCUUACCAAGGCUUUGACAGGUAGCCGGCCUGAGAGGGUGACCGGCCACAUUGGGACUGAGAUACGGCCCAGACUCCUACGGGAGGCAGCAGUGGGGAAUAUUGCACAAUGGGCGGAAGCCUGAUGCAGCAACGCCGCGGGCGGGAUGACGGCCUUCGGGUUGUAAACCGCUUUCGCCUGUGACGAAGCGUGAGUGACGGCAAUGGGUAAAGAAGCACCGGCUAACUACGUGC